UUAACCAUCUGAUGUCUUUAGGCCGAGGAACAUGAGAAGAACAAGGCUGAUGAACAAACAGAAGACUCAGAGCCUACUGUUAUUGAUAACAGUGAGCAAUUCUCCUCUGAUGAAGAUGAAACUACCUCUCCAAAGUCUACACUCGUUUCUUCUUCCGAUGAACAUGAGGAAUUGAGAUUGAGAACCCAACAGCUCCAAGCUGACAAUGAUUUUAAACUGGGAAGCUCUUCUCUGCGUCAGGAAGUACCUAGGGUUGGUUCAUUCCCUAUCGUCAUAGUUGGGGUGGCUGUAUUUGUUAUAUUCCUGCUAUUUGCUGGAACUUUGGUGCUCUUGAACUCUUGUGCUGCCUGAGUAGACGGAGUGCUAUUUUCAUCACCACAACCACAUACAACAUGGUGAUCCUGAAGCAUUCAUGGGAGGAUAAAGGGUCAUUUUGAGAAAUUUCACUGUUCCAUUUGUAGUUCAAACCUUCUCACUCCUAGAGGCGUAGUUCUGAUAAGAUUUGUAUUUGAGUAGAUGGUUAUGCAAUAUUUUGCUUUGUUUGUAAUUUUUGUUGUUGUAUAUAGCUGUUUAAAGGAAGAAAAAGAAGAAAGAACGUGGCCAGAGUUGAGUGCCAAUUUCUGUACUGAAAAAAAUGCGAUUGUGUUUGCAAAGAGAAGCAGCCUUGUCAUAUUCUA